rnacentral:tRNA from 1 species
GUCUGGGUAGCUCAGUCAGUAGAGAAUCAAACUUUUAAUUUGAGGGUCCAAAGUUCAAGUCCCUCUCCAGGCA